AUCGACCAUUUGGUUUAUUACCUCCUUAGUGUAUCAUGAGGAACAUGACAUGAGCAGAUAAUUAAGAAGAAAUAAGAAUAGCAGGCUACGUCAUGGAGACGUAGGAUGACACAUUUUGACACGAAACAACAUGAAGAACUGUAAAUACAAAUUUUAGUGAUCAUUGAAACAUAACAUUUUUAAUUCAUAAAAAUGAAUACGUUCCCUUUGAAUAUGAGUAGCCGACCAGCGAAUCCAAAGGGUGCGUUGAAAGGUGGUGCGUGGAAAACACAGUGCUCUAUGUUUUACCACAUGUUUGUAUUAACAUGUCAGAAUUGAAAACUACUAUAUCAGAAGAAAUUACUUUGUCUUCGAAAGGAUACAAGUUACAAAAAUUUUUAGGCGAAGGCGCCUAUGCUAAGGUAUAUUUAUCUGAAUACUCUUCAAAGGAUGAUAAACACAAGGCUACACUUGCUUGCAAGAUCAUAGAAACCUCGAAAGCGCCAAAAGAUUUUGUUAUAAAGUUUUUGCCGCGUGAGAUCGACGUGCUCAUUCGCUUGAAUCACCCACAUCUUAUAAAUGUGCAUAGUAUAUUUCAAAGAAAAACGAAGUAUUAUAUUUUUAUGAGAUUUUCUGAAAACGGCGAUUUGCUGGGUUACGUUUUGAAGAACGGUUGCGUUUCUGAGAAUCAGUCGAGAGUGUGGUUCCGACAGCUUGCGCUAGGUAUACAGUACCUCCACGAGUUGGAAAUAGCGCACCGUGACAUCAAGUGCGAGAACAUCCUGUUGACAGCCAACUACAACGUGAAACUUUCUGAUUAUGGUUUCUCUCGGUUUUGUCUCGAUGAUACUGAUACCCUUGCUCUAAGUGAGACUUACUGCGGUUCGAUGUCAUAUGCAGCGCCAGAAAUUCUGCGUGGUAAACCUUACCUGCCGAAACCGACAGACCUGUGGUCUUUGGGAGUGGUGUUAUUUGUGAUGCUGAAUAAGUGUAUGCCAUUUGACGACACGCAAAUGCGAAAAUUAUACGAGCAGCAGAUGGGAAAGAAAUAUAGAUUCAGAUCUAGUAUAAGCAGUGCUGUCUCAACCGAGUGUAAGUCUGUCGUGAAACAUCUAUUGGAGCCCGAUCCAGGACUACGCCACUCCGCCCAACAGGUGCUCAAUUCCGAAUGGAUUGCUAUGGAUAGUAGGCUUACCAUAGAAGCAUCGGCACUCAAACGAGCCAAAGAGGAACAUCGACGAAACUCUGAGUCUCGGAAACACCCGAUUGCAAAACACGGAGACAUUCUAGACAGCGCCGGUAGAAGUUCUGUCUAUAAGGCGAGUGAAAUGUUAAAAACUCUUGCCAGUGUCACGUCAAAGCACAUGAAAUAAAGAUAAAUGGAGGGCAAGUCAAAGGUUCAUCACACGGAUGAGGAACUUAAACUUUCUGGAUCAGAACAAUUGACACUCGCUACUCGUGGCUAUAAAAUGAUAAAAAAAGUGAACGAAGGAUCUUAUGCUAAGGUGUAUCUAGCGGAAUACAGAAAUCCAUCGAAGAACGAUAAG